UGGAUGAUGUGGUUUAAUUCGAUGCAACGCGAAAACCUUACCCACCUUUGACAUGGCAGGAAUCCCGAAGAGAUUUGGGAGUGCUCGAAAGAGAACCUGCACACAGGUGCUGCAUGGCUGUCGUCAGCUCGUGUCGUGAGAUGUUGGGUUAAGUCCCGCAACGAGCGCAACCCUUGCCAUUAGUUGCUACGAAAGGGCACUCUAAUGGGACUGCCGGUGACAAACCGGAGGAAGGUGGGGAUGACGUCAAGUCCUCAUGGCCCUUAUAGGUGGGGCUACACACGUCAUACAAUGGCCGGUACAGAGGGUAGCCAACCCGCGAGGGGGAGCCAAUCCCACAAAGCCGGUCGUAGUCCGGAUCGCAGUCUGCAACUCGACUGCGUGAAGUCGGAAUCGCUAGUAAUCGCGGAUCAGCAUGUCGCGGUGAAUACGUUCCCGGGUCUU
rnacentral:rRNA from 1 species